rnacentral:rRNA from 1 species
GGCGACGCUGGCGGCGUGCCUAAUACAUGCAAGUCGUACGCUUCUUUUUCCACCGGAGCUUGCUCCACCGGAAAAAGAAGAGUGGCGAACGGGUGAGUAACACGUGGGUAACCUGCCCAUCAGAAGGGGAUAACACUUGGAAACAGGUGCUAAUACCGUAUAACAAUCGAAACCGCAUGGUUUUGAUUUGAAAGGCGCUUUCGGGUGUCGCUGAUGGAUGGACCCGCGGUGCAUUAGCUAGUUGGUGAGGUAACGGCUCACCAAGGCUACGAUGCAUAGCCGACCUGAGAGGGUGAUCGGCCACAUUGGGACUGAGACACGGCCCAAACUCCUACGGGAGGCAGCAGUAGGGAAUCUUCGGCAAUGGACGAAAGUCUGACCGAGCAACGCCGCGUGAGUGAAGAAGGUUUUCGGAUCGUAAAACUCUGUUGUUAGAGAAGAACAAGGAUGAGAGUAACUGUUCAUCCCUUGACGGUAUCUAACCAGAAAGCCACGGCUAACUACGUGCCAGCAGCCGCGGUAAUACGUAGGUGGCAAGCGUUGUCCGGAUUUAUUGGGCGUAAAGCGAGCGCAGGCGGUUUCUUAAGUCUGAUGUGAAAGCCCCCGGCUCAACCGGGGAGGGUCAUUGGAAACUGGGAGACUUGAGUGCAGAAGAGGAGAGUGGAAUUCCAUGUGUAGCGGUGAAAUGCGUAGAUAUAUGGAGGAACACCAGUGGCGAAGGCGGCUCUCUGGUCUGUAACUGACGCUGAGGCUCGAAAGCGUGGGGAGCAAACAGGAUUAGAUACCCUGGUAGUCCACGCCGUAAACGAUGAGUGCUAAGUGUUGGAGGGUUUCCGCCCUUCAGUGCUGCAGCUAACGCAUUAAGCACUCCGCCUGGGGAGUACGACCGCAAGGUUGAAACUCAAAGGAAUUGACGGGGGCCCGCACAAGCGGUGGAGCAUGUGGUUUAAUUCGAAGCAACGCGAAGAACCUUACCAGGUCUUGACAUCCUUUGACCACUCUAGAGAUAGAGCUUCCCCUUCGGGGGCAAAGUGACAGGUGGUGCAUGGUUGUCGUCAGCUCGUGUCGUGAGAUGUUGGGUUAAGUCCCGCAACGAGCGCAACCCUUAUUGUUAGUUGCCAUCAUUCAGUUGGGCACUCUAGCAAGACUGCCGGUGACAAACCGGAGGAAGGUGGGGAUGACGUCAAAUCAUCAUGCCCCUUAUGACCUGGGCUACACACGUGCUACAAUGGGAAGUACAACGAGUCGCGAAGUCGCGAGGCUAAGCUAAUCUCUUAAAGCUUCUCUCAGUUCGGAUUGUAGGCUGCAACUCGCCUACAUGAAGCCGGAAUCGCUAGUAAUCGCGGAUCAGCACGCCGCGGUGAAUACGUUCCCGGGCCUUGUACACACCGCCCGUCACACCACGAGAGUUUGUAACACCCGAAGUCGGUGAGGUAACCUUUUGGAGCCAGCCGCCUAAGGUGGGAUAGAUGAUUGG